rnacentral:rRNA from 1 species
GAUGAACGCUAGCUACAGGCUUAACACAUGCAAGUCGAGGGGAAACGACAUCGAAAGCUUGCUUUUGAUGGGCGUCGACCGGCGCACGGGUGAGUAACGCGUAUCCAACCUGCCCACCACUUGGGGAUAACCUUGCGAAAGUAAGACUAAUACCCAAUGACGUCUCUAGAAGACAUCUGAAGGAGAUUAAAGAUUUAUCGGUGAUGGAUGGGGAUGCGUCUGAUUAGCUUGUUGGCGGGGUAACGGCCCACCAAGGCGACGAUCAGUAGGGGUUCUGCGAGGAAGGUCCCCCACAUUGGGACUGAGACACGGUCCAAACUCCUACGGGAGGCAGCAGUGAGGAAUAUUGGUCAAUGGACGAGAGUCUGAACCAGCCAAGUAGCGUGCAGGAUGACGGCCCUAUGGGUUGUAAACUGCUUUUAUAAGGGAAUAAAGUGAGUCUCGUGAGACUUUUUGCAUGUACCUUAUGAAUAAGGACCGGCUAAUUCCGUGCCAGCAGCCGCGGUAA